ACGGCCCGGGAACGUGCGCUCUUCCGCUCUGUAGAUAAGAUUUAUGGGUGUCAGAGCGGUGCAAGCGGGGCGCUGAGGAAACCCCAGCUCGGGGGAGAUCCUGGGUCGCGGGCCGCUCGGGUGCUGCAGGAGGGGAGAGGGCGGCACGAAGUCUCUGCGGCGACUUGAGCUUCAGUGGCAGGCGAGAAGACGCAAUAUAUAUGGAGAGAGGAGGAAAAUGCGACGAAAUUAGCGGUAGUCAUAGUUUAGGCCUGAAGAGGGCACCAGACCUCAUUACAGAUGGUUGUGAGCCACCACGUGGUUGCUGGGAAUUGAACUCAGGACCUUUGGAAGGCAAUGCUCUUAACCGCUGAGCCAUCUCUCCAGCCCCAACCACUCGUGUUUUUAAGAAAAAGAAAAACUUUUAAAAGAGUUCCUGGGUUCUGUCCCAGCACCAAUAUGUCAGCGGAGCUGUCUAACUCCAGUUCCAGAGGGUUUUGAUGCCCCCUUGCUGUAGGACAAUGGUCUGUACUCUGUCACUUGUAUUUUAAAUAAAUGGUGAUUGGCCAGUAGCCAGGCAGGAAGUAUAGGCGGGGCAACAAGAAUUUGGGGAAGAGGGAAGUUUCAGUCUGCAGUCGUCACCCAGACACAGAGCAAACAAGAAGUGACUGCUUCGCCGAAAAAGGUACCAAGCCACGUGGCAAACACAGACAAGAAUUAUGGGUUAAUAUAAGUUAUAAGAGUUAAUUAUAAGCCUGAGCUAAUAGGCCAAUCAGUUUAUGAUUAAUGUAGACCUCUGUGUGUUUCUUUGGGACUUGACGACUGCGGGAACCAGGCAGGACAGAAAAUUCAGUCAACACUUCCUCGUCUGGGGCUGGAGAGAUGGCUCAGAGGUUAAGAGCACUGGAUGCUCUUUCCAGAGGUCCUGAGUUCAAUUCCCAGCAACCACAUAGUGGCUCACAACCAUCUGUACUGAGAUCUGGCGCUCUGUUCUUACGUGCGGGCAUACA